UUGUUCCACCACCCUGCUCUCCUGGUGUGUUUAAUCUUCCCUCAUUUAGUGUCAGGUUGUCGGCUUUGUUACUCGUGUUCAUCCUGCCAUCCUGCCUGUGUUCCUUGUGUUCCUCGCGUCUUCCGGUUUGUACUUUUGGUGUUUUUCUUUUGUACUUUGUUUCACCUGUCUGCAUUCUCAGUUUUGUUUCCUGUCGGCUUUAUUUUUUUGCCACCAACUUAUUUAAUUAAAGCUCGCCUUUUAGUUUAAUCAACCUGCCUGCCUGGUCUCUUGCGUUUGAGUCCACCUCUUGAACCAAAACCUUAACAAACGGAGCCAUUAGAACUGGUUGGAAUGGACCUAAUGAGGCUAACUGUUACUGAGGGUGGUAAUCAAUACAUUUGUGUAAUGGUUGAUUAUUUCAUAAAGUGGGCAGAGGCCUACCCUCUGAAGAAUAAGUCUGCAGAGCAGGUGACCAAUUGUAUUCUUGAUUUUGUAUAAAAACGGCUUACAGACCGGAGGCCUGUACUACGAAGCGAGUUCAACAUAAUGAUAAUGUUCGCUUUUAAAAGUGUUAGUCACAAUUAGGCCAUCUUAAAAACUAAAAUGAUCACUUACGGCUCGAUGUAAGGGAGUGGGACACACUGAUCAGGGUUGUCUGCAAGAACCAUCAUUGGACUCUAGUGGCAAGUGCACUUAAAUCAAUGCAAUUUAUGCAACUAAAUGUACAACUCUGACAAUCUUAUACAGUAUGUUCGAGUAUCCUAUCCGUAAAAGGCCAUGUAUCCAAACGAAGGAGGAGCUUUGUUUGUUGACCCAUUUGGUGUCACUUCCAAUCAAUUGUAGGGAUUCAACAAGGGCUUUCAUGUGGAAAAAAAUUUCAGUGUAUCAAGAAGGAUGUGUGACACUGUCUCACAUCCCCGUCAGCAGGAUUCCACAUCCUGUGGAGUGUUGGUCUGCAAAGGAGCAGAGUUAACUGGAGGCAGCAUGGACUUUGCUGUGGACGAGGCAGACAUCAACUCUGUGUGAAGAGAAAUGGGCCUGGAGACUGAUGGAUGAUUCUGAUAAGCUUCAAUCUAUCGCAUAUCAACCUCACCGAAAC